GACGAACGCUGGCGGCGUGCCUAACACAUGCAAGUUGAGCGACGAACCAGGGCUUGCCCUGGGGCAAAGCAGCGAACGGGUGAGUAACACGUGGGUAACCUACCCCGAUAACCGGGACAACCCGAGGAAACUCGGGCUAAUACCGGAUGUGCUCACUGAACUUCGGUUCAGUGCGUAAAGGAAGCUUCGGCCUCCGUAUCGGGAGGGGCCCGCGGCCCAUUAGCUAGUUGGUGAGGUAACGGCUCACCAAGGCCGCGAUGGGUAGCUGGUCUGAGAGGACGAUCAGCCAGACUGGGACUGAGACACGGCCCAGACUCCUACGGGAGGCAGCAGCGGGGAAUCUUGCGCAAUGCGCGAAAGCGUGACGCAGCAACGCCGCGUGGGGGAAGAAGGCCUUCGGGUUGUAAACCCCUUUCAGGAGGGACGAAGGUUCGGCGGUGAAUAGCCGUCCGGACUGACGGUACCUCCACAAGAAGCCCCGGCUAACUACGUGCCAGCCGCCGCGGUAA
rnacentral:rRNA from 1 species